rnacentral:lncRNA from 1 species
GACCCAUGGGAGCCCAGGAGUGAGUCUGUGGGGCUGGGACCCACGGCUGGCGGGGAGGGAGGGGGUGUGGGGCGGUGUGGGGCGCCCCAUAGGGAAGGGGGGGCGGUUAUGGGGUGCCCCACAUGUGGGCACCCGUGGUUUGGGGAUUGGGAACUGGAAAUGUUUGGGGAGGGGGUUGUGGGGCGGCUAUGGGGCGCAGUAAGGGGGGGGGGGGGCUAGGGGGCAGGGGGCAAGGGGGGCGGGGGGGGGGGGGGGGGGGGGGGGGGGGGGGCUAUGGGGCACGGCGCAAUGGGGGCUGUGGGGCAGGUGGUUGAUUUGGGUGUGAGGCUAUGGGGCAAAGCGGGGGCGCUAUGGGGCACGGCAUGGGGUGCUAUGGGGCACGGCACGCCUCGCUAUGGGGCAGGGCGGUGGGUCACUAUGGGAUUCAGUGCAGGUGCUAUAGGGCACAGCAGUGGGGCGCUAUGGGGCACGGCACGGUGGGCUGCUGUGGGGCACGCUGUGGGGCACACAAUGGGCGCUAUGGGGCAGGAUAUGGGCACUAUGGGGCACAAUCUAGGUGCUAUGGGGCACACUGGGCGCUAUGGGGUGCUAUGGGGCAGCACAGCAGGCUGCUAUGGGGCACAAUAUGGGCACUAUGGGUGCUAUGGGGUAAAAUAUGGGUGCUAUGGGGCACACUGUGGGGCACUAUGGUGUGCUAUGGGGCAGCACAGCAGGCUGCUAUGGGGCACAAUAUGGGCGCUGUGGGGCACACUGGGUGUUGUGGGGCACAAUAUAGGCGCUAUGGGGCAGACAACGGGCACUAUGGGGCACAAUAUGGGCACUAUGGGGCACAGAAGGGGUGUUAUGGGGCACUAUGGGGCACACAGUGGGUGCUAUGGGGCACAAUAUGGGACACUAUGGGGCACAAUAUGGGUGCCAUGGGGCACAGCACAGACGCUAUAGGGCACACAACGGGCACUAUGGGGCGCUAUGGGGCGCUAUGGGGCACACUGUGGGUGCUAUGGGGCGCUAUGGGGCACACUGUGGGUACUAUGGGGCACACUGUGGGGCGCUAUGGGGCGCUAUGGGGUGCUAUGGGGAGCUAUGGGGCUCUAUGGGGGGCUAUGGGGAGCUAUGGGGCACACUGUGGGUGCUAUGGGGCACACUGUGGGGCGCUAUGGGGCACAGCACAGGUGCUAUGGGGCUCUAUGGGGUGCUAUGGGGCACACUGUGGGGCGCUAUGGGGCACUAUGGGGCGCUGU